UACGUAGGGUCCGAGCGUUGUCCGGAAUUAUUGGGCGUAAAGGGCUCGUAGGCGGUUCGUCACGUCGGGAGUGAAAACUCGGAGCUUAACUCCGAGCCUGCUUCCGAUACGGGCAGACUAGAGGUAGGCAGGGGAGAGCGGAACUCCUGGUGUAGCGGUGGAAUGCGCAGAUAUCAGGAAGAACACCAGUGGCGAAGGCGGCUCUCUGGACAGGUACUGACGCUGAGACGCGAAAGCGUGGGUAGCAAACAGG
rnacentral:rRNA from 1 species